AGGACAAAACUUGCAAUUCACUCAAAAUAUUAAUAACAGAAACAUACCCUAUAAGUUGGUAGUCGUAAACAAAUACACAAAUUGCAGAAAGGGCGAUCGGAGUCGCCGUUUUAUCAAUCUUUCCGGCGAUUCACUUGAUUGGUUCUCAUUUUUAACCUUUUGAGUUUUCAACUAUGACCAUCUUAAGGUCUUGGUUCGGUUAGAUUGUAACAAGCGCUAAAGUUCAGGAAUCUUGUUCAAGUUUGGGAAUGGCAACCUAUUUGUGGAGAAAAUAUGCUGAUUAUUUGCACACUAAAUGGGAAAAAGAAGUCCUUUGGACCAUGGUUGGUCCAUUUAAGCGCCCAAAAUCGUUUACUCCUCUUGUCACAAUCUAUAUAUCGGCUUUCUAUACUGGAGUCAUUGGAGCUGCAAUCACCGAGCAACUUUACAAGGAAAAAUACUGGGAAGAUCAUCCUGGCGAGGCGGUACCGAUUAUGAGACCAAUAUUCUACGGUGGUCCUUGGAAGAUUUACAAAGGAACCGUUCUUCCACCAAACAAAUAAAUGUCAGAAGCUAACGGACUUCGUAUGAUGGAAGAAAAGCUUCAUAUAUGAUCCUGGUAUGUGUAUCUAACAUAGUUUGUACAAUGGGUCGAUAACUGCAUUCUAUUAUAGUUCUUUGUGUUCUUUUAAUGAAGAGUUAAUUGCCAUUUUA